rnacentral:piRNA from 1 species
UGCCAUUCCAGGCCCAACUUGUGCCUUCCGUC